UUAUUUUGCGACACCACGAAACAAACAAUAGCAUAAUAUGAAGCGAUAGACGUUUUCAUAUAGUCAUCCGAUACAUAUCGUUAUAUCGAACAGCCCUACUUUAUAUGUGCAGUGACUGUUGGUGCCAAACAGGCUACUCUCAGGAUUUGAGAAACUGCUGGUCCACUGGGAUUUUCCUGGGGUUUACAGAGAAGGGUCCGAUAAAAAGAAAAUAUCAAGUGAGCGUCAGUUUUCUCGAAGAAAAUACUCGUUGAUUAUCAGAGGUCAGAGUGCUUCCAACAGUAACUCAAAACCAUUCAUUACAACCACAGCACGUAGAAGAGCACCUCUGCAGCACAACUUAUUGAAACUUGAAGCACAUGAGGAGAAGAAUGUUACUUGUGUCAGGCACCAGCACCACAGUCAACAGGCCAAGGUAUGAAACGCAAGGCCUACUAAACAACUGACUACAGCCCCCUGUGUGGCAUGCCCCUAACUUUAAAGAUUAACCAAAUCCACACAGACUCUUAGAGGUGGACUGAGCUCGGCCUCAAGCAGCUGUUGGAACAAUUGCAGUUUUUGGCACUAAGGCAGUGAUGGUGAAUGGUGAAUCAACUCUUCUUCUUUCGAAAUAAGUCGGCGCGGCCACAGCCUCCUCUCGCUGUAAGCAGUGUGGCAAGAGGCAGACAGCGGAAAGCGAAAAGCUGCCAUCCGAGUCACAGAGAGGUCUGCAGGAAUAAAGACUCAAAUAGUGUUUGUAUUUUUAGCACAGAGUUUCCCAGAAACGCUCAUCUCGUGGCAGCGAUUUGAAAUUUUGAUUUCACGCUUUUAUUUUUGUAAUUUAAAUGUUGUGCAAUAUUUUGCAGUCUACACUGUGAAGAAAGGAAUAAAAUUCUACCACUGGCAAAAAAGCGCACCUCUCAUUCCCCUCUCAAAAUAUUGAUUUCUACAAUAAAUUUCC